CAUGACCUGAGCCGAAGUCGGACGCUUAACCAACUGAGCCACCCAGAGUCCAGCAUGUUUCUGUUCUCUCAGGUCUUGAGAUCACGAAUGGAACUAAAAACGAGAAUCGAAAAUGGGAAGAUUCAGAGCACGCAGAAGUGAAGAAGGCCCUUUGGAGAAGGUCUAGUGGCCUUUUUUGCCACCCUGAGACCAAGAGAGACAGGAAGGGUGAGCCUAUGCCGAGAGAGCCACAUAGACGUUCUCCAGAUGAGCGUGAGGGGACGGCCCUGUCCCAGGACGGGGGGAUCAGCAGACACUGGGGAGAAGGCCCGAGCAAAUCUGAGCAGAGAAACCUGCUCUCAGGGAUCUCUCUGUCGCCACCAGCCAGGCCCUGAACUGGAAAAAGCUUCUAAGUGUCAGGAAUGUGGGAAAAGCUUUAGCCGAGGUCCUUACCUUGUUCGGCAUUGGAGAAUCCACACCAGAGAAAAGCCUGACAAGUGCGGCGAAUGCGGGAAAGGCUUCAGCGAGCGCUUCGACCUCACUGCCCACCCAAGGACACACACGGGGGAGAGACCCUACCGCUGUGGGCAGUGUGGGAAAAGCUUCAACCAAAGGUCUGGCCUCAGUGUCCACCGGAGGACCCACACUGGGGAGAAGCCUUACCGGUGCACCGUCUGUGGGAAGAGCUUCAACAACAGCUCCCAGCUCAGUGCUCACCGGCGAGCCCACGCAGGGCGGAGCCCCCACCUGUGUGCGCAACGUGGGAGAAGCUUCGGCAGCAGCUCCCACUCCAGUGGCCACCAGAAAACGCACACCGGGGAGAAGCCUCACAACUGCUCUGUGUGAGAGAAGUUUCGCUAAGCUCCAUGCCCCCAUCUGCCAUCAGGGGGCACACGAGGAUGACACCUCACAUCGCCAGGAAGGGACACACGGUACAGGGCUGGAGAGCCAACAGGCCAAUUCCGUACGUUGACGGGUCUCCUGGAGGUUCUGUCUGCUCACGGAGGCUUCUGCUAGCCAGUCCCAGGCUCCCAGGCGCAGCAGGAGACUCACAAGUGGACCUCGAGAACCUCAGACAGGAGUAGCAAUCGGCAUGAGAACGCCGAGCUUGCCUUCCCGGUCUGCCUGUGACCCACAGUCCCGUGUCACCGUGGACUUCCAUCUGCUCUCAAGAAAGAGGGCUGCGGGAUCCAAAGUCCUGCCAGAAAUCGAGGAUAACCGUGUUCCGAACAGAGGAUAGGUGGCUAGGGGCCUGGGAAGUGUUCCUGGGGCAGGUCAGGGGAGACAUUUUCCCUCAUGGGAAGCACAUCUCGAAGUUAACCGCCUAGAUGUUUCCUAACCCAAUAAUGACCUGUAGGCAUCUGCUUGCAGGAACGUCUACCUCCGAGUCGAUCACUGCUGUGUAUCCCAGUCACCCAGAGAAGACGGCAGAGCUGGAGGGAUGGCUCAGGCCACCAGGUACUAGUACUCUAAGUGACUUAAUCUCAGAGCAAGUGUGACAUCUGGGUUCCUCUAAGAUUUCUCCCAUGUAUGGCCCCGACCCAGGUUCCUGCUUUCUGGUCUGGUACAGUUAACGGUUGCCACAGGUUCAUACGCAUCACUGUUUCUGAAGAAAAUAAAGGUGUUUCUCUCUCCGC